AUUGGGAUUUGCUUAUUGCACCACAUGUGUUUUUCUUUGAAACAAACUUGCUUUGGCGGUGGGCCCAGCCUGCCGCCAGAGGUCUAAACUUACAACCAAUUUUUUAUCAACUUGUCACACCAGAUUAUUACUUAAUAGUCAAAACUUUCAACAACGGAUCUCUUGGUUCUCGCAUCGAUGAAGAACGCAGCGAAAUGCGAUACGUAAUAUGAAUUGCAGAUAUUCGUGAAUCAUCGAAUCUUUGAACGCACAUUGCGCCCUCUGGUAUUCCGGAGGGCAUGCCUGUUUGAGCGUCGUUUCUCCCUCAAACCGCUGGGUUUGGUGUUGAGCAAUACGACUUGGGUUUGCUUGAAAGACGGUAGUGGUAAGGCGGGAUCGCUUUGACAAUGGCUUAGGUCUAACCAAAAACAUUGCUUGCGGCGGUAACGUCCACCACGUAUAUCUUCAAACUUUGACCUCAAAUCAGGUAGGACUACCCGCUGAACUUAAGCAUAUCAAUAAGCGGAGGAA
rnacentral:rRNA from 1 species